GUUGACGAAGGAGCAAGUUGCUCAGUUCCGGGAAGUUGUUUCCAAGGACUACUACUUCCAAAUGUAUUAUGAUGACUUGCCCAUUUGGGGUUUCUUAGGGAAAGUUGAUAAGGAACGCAAGAAUGACCCUAGUGAAUACAAAUAUUACCUGUUUAAGCAUCUUCACUUUACCAUCUUUUACAACAAAGAUCGUGUCAUUGAGAUCACUGCACAAUCUGAUCUUAACAAUGUUGUGGACCUGACUGAAGAUAAGGAAGUUGAUGUGGAGUUUAUGUACUCAGUUAAAUGGAAGGAAACAGAAAUUCCAUUUGAGAAAAGGA
rnacentral:lncRNA from 1 species